AAGUUGAUCUAUCGUGACAUCUGCUACUGUCUUGGUUGCCGAGGUUGGGUUGGCUGAUCUGGCAGGUCAAAGGAUGUCCCCUUUCUCUUUCACCCACUUGGGUGAGUCUCUUUGGUCAACUAAGACAAAGAGGUUGACCUUCUCAGCUUGAGGGGCACAGGACUUUGGUCAAUGGUAUUUAGGAGUGGUUGCGCUGCUCUGGCAGAAAAGCUAAAGGAUUUCUCAGCAUUCUUAUCUGUCCAGCCAGGAGUUACACAUAAGACAGAGAUGGAUCUGGGCUUGUCAUUUCCCAGUUU
rnacentral:snRNA from 1 species